AAGUCGUAACAAGGUUUUCCGUAGGUGAACCUGCGGAAGGGAUCAAUUAAAAGAGUAAGGGGUGCUCAGCGCCCGACCUCCAACCCUUUGUUGUUAAAACACCUUGUUGCUUUGGCGGGACCGCUCGGUCUCGAGCCGCUGGGGAUUCGUCCCAGGCGAGUGCCCGCCAGAGUUAAACAAACUCUUGUUAUUAAACCGGUCGUCUGAGUUAAAAUUUUGAAUAAAUCAAAA
rnacentral:misc_RNA from 1 species